rnacentral:rRNA from 1 species
GAUGAACGCUGGCGGCGUGCCUAAUACAUGCAAGUCGAGCGAACAGAUAAGGAGCUUGCUCCUUUGACGUUAGCGGCGGACGGGUGAGUAACACGUGGGUAACCUACCUAUAAGACUGGGAUAACUUCGGGAAACCGGAGCUAAUACCGGAUAACAUUUGGAACCGCAUGGUUCUAAAGUGAAAGAUGGUUUUGCUAUCACUUAUAGAUGGACCCGCGCCGUAUUAGCUAGUUGGUAUGGUAACGGCUUACCAAGGCGACGAUACGUAGCCGACCUGAGAGGGUGAUCGGCCACACUGGAACUGAGACACGGUCCAGACUCCUACGGGAGGCAGCAGUAGGGAAUCUUCCGCAAUGGGCGAAAGCCUGACGGAGCAACGCCGCGUGAGUGAUGAAGGGUUUCGGCUCGUAAAACUCUGUUAUUAGGGAAGAACAAACGUGUAAGUAACUGUGCACGUCUUGACGGUACCUAAUCAGAAAGCCACGGCUAACUACGUG